ACAUGACUGGUAUUGACUGAAAGGUGUGAAUUACUGGCUACCUUACUAUGAUCACUUGUGCAAUUGAACAAAUUUUAGACGACGUGCAGUGACUUGAAAUGGAUGAAAUCUUGGACUACACAAAAUAUCGACUGAAAUAUAUAUAGAUUCCAAUUUCUUUAAAUAGUGUUUAUCAGUCUCUUGCUCUCUCUUAUGAGUUUUUCAAUUUUGGGAAUUUGGUAGACAUUCAAAUGGACUUUCACAUCUAAAAAAUUUGUUGGAAUUUUUGGGUUCUGAGAAAUGCUCAGUCAAUGAGCUUUUCAAAAUUGUGAAUUUGGGAUUUAUGCAUAUGUUGAUAUAGCUGCCGAAUAGGCACCAUGUUUUCCAUCUGCUUCUGUUAGAACUUAAUUUUAAUAAGUUGAAAUUUCAUUUUCAACCUGGAAAUCAGUGCAGAUUUUACUGAAACUUCAUUAGUCUGUUUAUAAAUUUUCAAUUAGUUUGUUACUUACUAAGUUCUAUAUAUUGUCUUAAUUGUGGAACUGUCACAUCUA
rnacentral:misc_RNA from 1 species